GUCACGAUAGCUCAAGUGGUUAGAGCAGCGGUCUUUUGACCCGAACGUCGUGGGUUCGAAUCCCGCUUGCGACG